UCGGGUAUGGUAUAACGGCUAACAUUGCCAUCUCUCAUACGAUUUGACUUCUCGGUUCGCGGCAGCUCGGGGUUCGAUUCCCCGUAUCCGAA
rnacentral:tRNA from 1 species